rnacentral:rRNA from 1 species
CGGACGGGUGAGUAAUGUCUGGGAAACUGCCUGAUGGAGGGGGAUAACUACUGGAAACGGUAGCUAAUACCGCAUAACGUCGCAAGACCAAAGAGGGGGACCUUCGGGCCUCUUGCCAUCGGAUGUGCCCAGAUGGGAUUAGCUUGUAGGUAAGGUAACGGCUUACCUAGGCGACGAUCCCUAGCUGGUCUGAGAGGAUGAUCAGCCACACUGGAACUGAGACACGGUCCAG